rnacentral:rRNA from 1 species
CAUUUUAUUAUAAGUUUAUGAGCAACCAGACGCGUCUGGUGAACAUAUGCAAGAACUGCCCCGUUAGAUCAAAAGGCCAAAACAUAAUGAUUACCUCAAAUAAACACAAGAAAAUAUUCGUGCAACUCGAAUUGACCUUAUACCGACUAGCUAGCCCACCCGCAAAAAUUAAUCCACCACCAGUGUAACCCCUAAUACACCUACACUUACAAAACCAAACAAACCAUUUUACCACUCCAGUAUGGGAGACAGAAAAAGAUACCAAGGCGCCAUAGAACAAGUACCGCAAGGGAACGCUGAAAGAGAACUGAAAUAGCUCAGUAAAGUACCGAAUAGCAGAGAUUAAACCUCGUACCUUUUGCAUCAUGAUUUAGCCAGUGAAAACCAAGCAAAGAGCACUUUAGUUUGAUUACCCGAAACUAAGUGAGCUACUCCAGGGCAGCCUAGUUUAUAGGGCGAACCCGUCUCUGUGGCAAAAGAGUGGGAAGACCUUCGAGUAGGGGUGACAGACCUAUCGAACUUAGUUAUAGCUGGUUGCCCAAGAAUUGAAUAGGAGUUCAGCCUCCCAGCUUCUUUAUUCCCCCGUUACUUUUAAACUUCACGAUAAUAAGAAUACUGAGAGAGUUAGUCAAAGAAGGCACAGCUUCUUUGACAUAAGAUACAACUUUUAUAGGAGGGUAAAGAUCACAUUUUAAUAGGACAUUUCACACCCCUGUAGGCUUAAAAGCAGCCAUCUGUUAAAAGAAAGCGUCUAAGCUUAGAACCAAUUUCAUACCCCUUAAUUUCGAUCAUUAUUUCUUAACCCCCUUGUACUAUUAGGCUCUCCCAUGCAAACAUGGGAGCAACCAUGCUAAAAUGAGUAAUAAGAGAGCUAACGCCUCUCUCCCUGCACAAGUGUAAAUCAGAACGGACCAACCGCUGAAAAUUAACGGCCUCACCCACAGAGAGCACUAAGUAGUAUAAUAAAGACCAAGCAAACCACUUUACUUAGCACCGUUACCCCUAUACAGGCGUGCCCCCAGGGAAAGACUAAAAGAAAGAGAAGGAACUCGGCAAACACAUAUAAGCCUCGCCUGUUUACCAAAAACAUCGCCUCUUGGGAACUAAAGAUAAGAGGUCGUGCCUGCCCUGUGAAUUAGUUUAACGGCCGCGGUAUUUUGACCGUGCAAAGGUAGCGCAAUCACUUGUCUCUUAAAUGGAGACCUGUAUGAAUGGCUUGACGAGGGCUUAACUGUCUCCUCUCUCCAGUCAAUGAACUUGAUCUCCCCGUGCAGAAGCGGGGAUUAAAACAUAAGACGAGAAGACCCUAUGGAGCUUUAGACAUAGAGGUAGUUCAUGGACACUAAACCUUUUAAAGAAUAAAACAAGCCGUGUUCCCUACCUCUCGUCUUUGGUUGGGGCGACCGCGAAGAAAAACUAAUCCUCCGCGACGACUGGGAGUACUUCUCCUGGAACCAAGAGCGACAGCUCUAAGCAACAAAAAUUUUGACUCUACAGAACCGGCUAAACGCCGAUUAACGAACCGAGUUACCCUAGGGAUAACAGCGCAAUCCUCUUCUAGAGACCUUAUCGACAAGGGGGUUUACGACCUCGAUGUUGGAUCAGGACAUCCUAAUGGUGCAGCCGUUAUCAAGGGUUCGUUUGUUCAACGAUUAAAGUCCUACGUGAUCUGAGUUCAGACCGAAGUAGUCCAGGUCGGUUUCUAUCUAUGGUGUGCUUUUUCCCAGUACGAAAGGACCGGAAAGAGGGGGCCCCUGCUUCAAGUAUGCCCCUCCCCCAUCUUAUGAAAGCAUCUAAAUAAGAUAAGAGGGCACAACCCCCUUGUCAUAAAAAAUGACUU